rnacentral:rRNA from 1 species
CUGCUCAAUGCAAUUUGUAAAUAGCCGCAGUAUUCUGACUGUGCUAAGGUAGCAUAAUCAUUAGUCUUUUAAUUAAAGGCUGGUAUGAAUGACGAGACGAGAGAGUCCCUGUCUCUAAAACAAUUUUUGAAUUUUACUUCUGAGUGAAAAGACUCAGAUAAUUUUGAAGGACGAUCAGACCCUAUGGAGCUUUAUUUAUAUUGAAAUUUUAAUUUAUUUUAAAAGAUUAAACUAAAAAUAAAUUUUGUUGGGGCGACAGGGAGUAAAAAAUAACACUCUUUUUUAAAAACAAAAAUAGUUGGAAAAUUGAUCCUUAAUGAGAGAUUAAAAGACUAAGUUACCCUAGGGAUAACAGCGUAAUCUUUUUGGAGAGUUCUUAUCGAUAAAAAGGUUUGCGACCUCGAUGUUGGAUUAAGAGAUUAGCAAGAUGCAGAAGUUUUGCUGGAGAGUCUGUUCGACUCU